GACAGAGGGGGCAAGCGUUGCUCGGAAUUACUGGGCGUAAAGGGCGCGUAGGCGGGAUGGCAAGUCGGUCGUGAAAUCCCUCGGCUCAACCGAGGAACGUCGAUCGAUACUGCUGUUCUUGAGGAUUGCAGAGGAGACUGGAAUUCCCGGUGUAGCGGUGAAAUGUGUAGAGAUCCGGAAGAACACCGGUGGCGAAGGCGGUUAGCUGGGCAGUUGCUGACACUGAGGCGCGGACAGCGUGGGGAGCAAACAGG
rnacentral:rRNA from 1 species